CGCGGAGUGGAGAAGUGGUAUCUCGUCGGGCUCAUAACCCGAAGAUCAUUGGUUCAAUUCCAAUCUCCGCAACCA
rnacentral:tRNA from 1 species